GGAAAAUUGACAUCUUACUGCAGUUUUCAUGGAAUCAGACUGGUGACUUGGUUUAUGAAGACUUAAGCUACAAGAAUCAUGGCUUAUGUAGGUCCUUGUGUACAAUUUUGGGAAUUCAGUUAUAGAAGGUGUUUUGAAAGUACGUUGUUGAUGAUGAUGAAUGAAAAAUGAAUGAAUGUGACCCCUCAAGCAUCUGUUGAUCAUUGAAGAUGUCAGCUCAUGUAAACAGGAAUCGUGUGGAUUAAACACGGUCUCAUUUGGGGCCUGAAAGUGCCAUAGCAUCUACAUACUUUCAUCUCAAAAUAUCUUUAUGAAGUCGAAAGGGAUCAGAUUAGAUUCUCUAGGAGGAAGCAGACUGUGAGACAGUUCAGUGUGUCAGACGUUUAUUAGGGAGCAUCCUUGGGGACAAAUCCCAAGAGGGAGAG
rnacentral:lncRNA from 1 species